rnacentral:rRNA from 1 species
CUAAAUAGGAUUCCCUUAGUAAUGGCGAACGAACCAGGGAUGAGCUCGGCUUGGAAACUGGGGCCUCGGCCUUGGAUUGUAGCCUUUAGACAUAGUGCCAUCGGAGGCGCAGGUGCAAGCCUCUUGGAAAAGAGCAUCAAUGUGGGUGAGAAUCCUGUGUUUCACUUGCAGUCCACCGUGCACGGCACAUGUUCUCAGAGUCGCGUUCCUCGGAAUUGGAGCGUAAAGUGGGUGGUAAAUUUCAUCUAAAGCUAAAUAUAGGCUUGAGACCGAUAGCAAACAAGUACCAUGAGGGAAAGAUGAAAAGGACUUUGAAAAGAGAGUUAAAAGUGCUUGAAAUCGCUGAAAGGGAAGCGAAUGGAACCAGUCUUCUGGCUGAGAUUGUUGCGUGCUACUGUGAUCCCUGGCUGCUUCAACGCAAGUGUGGCAGUUAGAGUUGAUCAGCUGUGCGUGAUGUUUCUCAGCUUGUUAGUCAACCUUUGUUCGUGCUUGGGGAUAACUGCGGGUUCCAUGUUCUUCUCUGCGGAGUUGAGUUCGUGCCUGUAAGGACUCAGGUGUGUACAAUUGGUGACAAAAUGGUUCUCUUCGACCCGUCUUGAAACACGGACCAAGGAGUCUAGCACAUGUGCAAGUUCACAGGGGGCAAGCCUGCUUGCGCAAUGAAGGUGACAUUUGGGAUAUUUGCACCAGCAUCCGGACCAAUCCCUCGAG